rnacentral:rRNA from 1 species
UCGGGAAUUUUGGGCAAUGGGCGAAAGCCUGACCCAGCAACGCCGCGUGAAGGAUGAAGUCUCUCGGGAUGUAAACUUCGUAAGAAUAGGAAGAAUAAAUGACGGUACUAUUUGUAAGGUCCGGCUAACUACGUGCCAGCAGCCGCGGUAAUACGUAGGGACCAAGCGUUGUUCGGAUUUACUGGGCGUAAAGGGCGCGUAGGCGGCGUGGUAAGUCACUUGUGAAAUCUCCGAGCCUAACUCGGAACGGUCAAGUGAUACUGCUGUGCUAGAGUACAGAAGGGGCAAUCGGAAUUCUUGGUGUAGCGGUGAAAUGCGUAGAUAUCAAGAGGAACACCUGAGGUGAAGACGGGUUGCUGGGCUGAUACUGACGCUGAGGCGCGAAAGCUAGGGUAGCAAACGGGAUUAGAUACCCACGUAGUCCCUGAGCGGGCUGGCAAGGCGCAU